ACACAGCGCUCGCCUCAGUAGUCACCUGCCAUUUCCAGUAAGGGCUCAUGUACACAAAUGUAUUUUCUUUCCGUGUCCGUUCCAUUUCUUUUUUUAUAUGUGGAAUCAUUCAUUUUAAUGGGUCUGCAAAAAAAAAAAAAAAGUUUAUUCCGUGUGCAUUCCGUUUCCGUAUGUCCGUAUUUCCGUUCCGCAAAAAAAUAGUACUUGUCCUAUUAAUGGCCUUAAAACGGACAAGGAUGGUACUGUUCUAUUGUGGGCCAGCUGUUCCGUUCCGCAAAAUACGGAAUGCACACGGACGUCAUCAGUAUUUUUUGCGGAUCUGUUUUAUGCAGGCAGCAAAAUACAUACGGUCGUCUGCAUGAUCUCUACUUCUGAUAGACAUCGGACUGCAUAAUCAUGAGGUCUCUGACUGCAGAGACUUCCUAAGUUUGAGUGUAGAAAGGGUUACCAGAGCAGCCAGCAUGCUGGAGCAGAUGUAGCCAUCAGGCUAAAAGGGGGAAGGUGUGUGUGUGUGUGUGUGUGUGUGGACGGAGUGUACUGAAUCCUGUAGCUGCAAGUGGUGUGGUUCCCCCCUCCCUCCCCUUCAAAAUAAUGCAGGAAUGGUUUCUUCCCUGGGCUCCUCCACCCCUCCCCUGUGAAGUGUUAAGAGGAGCAAAGCUGGGGGGUUAGCCUCUUCUCUCCGGCUGCUGUCAGGAGCUUUAUCCUGCAGGUAUGGCUGAUGAGAAGCUGGUGACUGCCCUCUGUUCCCGGGUGCAGACUGGUCUGGAAGUGUCGGUUGUCAUAGGCGGCACCCUAAUGCUACCCGGAAACGCAGGUGGUUGUGACACUGUUUCAGAUCUUCCUGACACAGCAGGCGUUCUACCCGUUCCAAAUCUUCCCGUUGGUGCUCGCCAUUGACGUCCGAUCUGAGUUCCUCAUUGUUCUUUUGGCCAGUCAGGCGUCCUGGGUCAGUCAGACCAGCGCGGUUUCGGUGGCACCUGCUCUUCCAGAGUUUCAGCCCGUGGUUCCUGUGGAUCUUCCGAUGCCAGAGGGCGUUGCAGAAGUUUCGAGACCUGUUGCCGGAUGCGGAGAUGGAGGGCUUCCCAUGCCCACCCCACCUGUGGGAUCUGGUGACCAGCGGUUGAUUUCUUUAGUCCAGGCUUGGUUGCACCAGCCACCUGGCUAGGUCAUGAUAUCCGCCGUUCGAUAGUUUGCGUCCUCGGCCACUCCUAUGUUUUCUGGGUAGCCCACAGGAUGAAAUAUAGACCUAGAGGUAGAAGCCUGGGUUUCACGAAUAUUGAGGUCCACUGGCGAGGAAUCCGUGGCCUGCGAUGGUCUCAGGUAUUGCAGAAAGCCGUUGAGUUGAGCAGGCUUUAUUGCUCCCCUGUCAUGUUGAUUAUACAUGCCGGUGGUAACGACAUCUGUUUUCCAGCUCAUCCCUCAUGACAGCACAACAGGAGGUUGUUCCCCUUUGACCUUCUUGGCACAGAAAACAGAGGUUAAAAGGUCCCUCCCCCCUCCACCCAGAAGUAGUUCUUCCUGUCCCUACAGGGGAUAGACACAGAGAGGUUCCCUGCUCUAGGGUUGAAGUGAUUCUACAAGCCCUCUUAGGGCCUAAGGCCUCUCCUUCCAGGUCUCGAAUAGCCUUGCUAACACCUCUCAGGGUAGAGGUCCCUAAGCAGCCCCGAACCCAUCUGGCGGAGUCCAAGCCUAUCGGAGGGUUCUUUGAUGGUCUGGGUUCGAUCGUUGGGUUCAUUCUCAUCCUUCCUACCCUAUAAGUGGCCAGGCCAAUACCUCUUAUGUGGAGGUCCCCUGGCUUGCUCCUAACCCUGAUGAAGUUGGUAAUGCAGCUGGUGGUUACCUCACUAUGUAUGGCUAUGGGUUCAUGGAGCUUAGAUCCGCUGUUCCUUACUAGAGUUCAGCAGGAUCGGGCCUCAGUGCAUCUGAAACAGUCAGCAGCUGGAAAGCCUUUUCUUUUCUCCUUACCAACGCUCCAUGUGCAAGAUUUGGCAGAAGCUGCAUGACAUUAUUGGUGCUUGCGUUGGCUGCACAUACUCCAAGAUUGGUAAGUAAACCAUGCAAACUAUUUGUCAGGUAAGUAAACCAUGAAUGUGUUUAACCAACUGGAUUGCCUCAACAGUUAUAAUUACUUUAAUUGAGAAUGUGUGUGGAUCUAAAUGGGAACUUGGGCAAUAGUAGCAUCAACUGUUUUUUUAAUGAGGACUGAAUGUGGAUUUAAGAUUUUCAGGCUGCAUUCAGGAGUAUACGGACUCCUUUGUGGUGGUGUUGGUCAUAAUUGAGUGUAACAAAUGGUGGACUUGCCCACAGGGAGUCCAGUGGUCUGGCAUACCGCUUCUUUAAAAAUUUGAUAUGCUGUUUUUCAUGUUGAAAUAAUGUUGGUUGGAAAAAAUGUAUGCCUUUUUAAUAAAGCUCCUCCCAAAAAAUAAAAUUGUCAGUGUUUAUGGCAGGUGGGAUGCAAGGUUGGGUAAAGGGGUUAUAGUUCUCGGCAGUCUGAUAGACCCCAGACUGCAUGAGGAGAUGGUCUCUGACUGCAGAGACUUCCUAAGUUUGAGUAUGGAAAGGUUUAACAGAGCUGCUAACCUGCUGGAGCAGAUGUAGCCAUAAGGCUAAAGGUGGGGGGGAGUGUACUGAAUCCUCCCAAAUAAUGCAGGAAUGGUUUCUCCCCUGGGCUCCUCCCUCCCCUCCCCUGUGAAGUAUUAAAAGGAGCAAACCUUGGGGGUCAGCCUCUUCUCUCUGGCUGCCAUCAGGAACUUAGCCACCCUCCCUCCCUGCUCUAUGUUGGUGUUUUUGUGUGAUUGUUUUAACUGUUUUCUCUCUUUUGUAGAGAUUGUUUCUUCAAGUCACAGCUGUUGGGCGGUGUUAGUCAUAAUGGAGUGUAACAGAAGGCGGACUUGCCCACCGGGAGUCCAGUGGUCCAGCAUACCACUUCUUUAAAGACUUGAUAUGCUGUUUUUCAUGUUGAAAUAAUGAUGGUUGGAAAAUUUACGCCCUUUAAUAAAGCUGUGAGC